AUUGAACGCUGGCGGCAGGCUUAACACAUGCAAGUCGAGCGAGCGGCGGACGGGUGAGUAAUGUCUGGGAAACUGCCUGCUGGUGGGGGAUAACUACUGGAAACGGUAGCUAAUACCGCAUACCAUCAGAUGUGCCCAGAUGGGAUUAGCUAGUAGGUGGGGUAAUGGCUCACGUAGGCGACGAUCCCUAGCUGGUCUGAGAGGUUGACCAGCCACCCGGGAACUGAGACACGGUCCCGACUCCUACGGGAGGCAGCAGUGGGGAAUAUUGCGCAAGGGGCGCAAGCCGGAUGCAGCCAUGCCGCGUGAGUUAAGAAGGCCUGCGGGUUGUAAAGCACUGUCAGCGAGGAGGCGUUACUCGCAGAAGAAGCACCGGCUAACUCCGUGCCAGCAGCCGCGGUAAUAC
rnacentral:rRNA from 1 species